UAUACAUGCAGUCGAGCGAUCGAUGGCAGCUUGCUCCCUGAGAUUAGCGGGGAGCGGGGGAGUAACACGUGGGCAACCUGCCUAUAAGACUGGGAUAACUUCGGGAAACCGGAGCUAAUACCGGAUACGUUCUUUUCUCGCAUGAGAGAAGAUGGAAAGACGGUUUACGCUGUCACUUAUAGAUGGGCCCGCGGCGCAUUAGCUAGUUGGUGAGGUAAUGGCUCACCAAGGCGACGAUGCGUAGCCGACCUGAGAGGGUGAUCGGCCACACUGGGACUGAGACACGGCCCAGACUCCUACGGGAGGCAGCAGUAGGGAAUCUUCCGCAAUGGACGAAAGUCUGACGGAGCAACGCCGCGUGAACGAAGAAGGCCUUCGGGUCGUAAAGUUCUGUUGUUAGGGAAGAACAAGUACCAGAGUAACUGCUGGUACCUUGACGGUACCUAACCAGAAAGCCACGGCUAACUACGUGCCAGCAGCCGCGGUAAUACGUAGGUGGCAAGCGUUGUCCGGAAUUAUUGGGCGUAAAGCGCGCGCAGGUGGUUCCUUAAGUCUGAUGUGAAAGCCCACGGCUCAACCGUGGAGGGUCAUUGGAAACUGGGGAACUUGAGUGCAGAAGAGGAAAGUGGAAUUCCAAGUGUAGCGGUGAAAUGCGUAGAGAUUUGGAGGAACACCAGUGGCGAAGGCGACUUUCUGGUCUGUAACUGACACUGAGGCGCG
rnacentral:rRNA from 2 species